rnacentral:lncRNA from 1 species
GCACCGCCGGGCGGGCAGAGCUGGGGAGCUCAGCUCCCCGCCCGUGGCCCUCCGCCAGCAGCCCCUCUCCCCGAGACCUGGGCUCUUAAUGAGGGAUGACGGUGGUUUCUCUAACUUUGAGACCCAACAGAGCAGAACUUCCCCAAGGCAGGAUCCUCCGGACGGUAAGUUUGAUAUUUAGAUUAAGAUCACUUCCUCACGGGCUCCUGUAGUGUGCGUGUGAGUAUGUGAAUGUGAGGAAGACGAGGAGAGGGAGCAAGCUCAGCUCAGAGUGACCAUAAAAGAGAGAGAAGAAACCACCAAGAGCACGACUUGGUUUUUUUUUGGGAAGUGCUCUUAAAGGGAGGUGGGGUGGGAGCGGGAGGCCGCCGAGGCUGAGACGGGGAGCGCAGUCGAGCUGCCCCUGCCUCUUCGCAACCUCCCUCUGCAGGGCAUUGCUCCAGGCCGAGGGUAAGAAGGUGCACUUAGACGGCGGCAAGAGAGCCUGCACACCCCCCGGGGACAGAGUUUGCCUCCUGAACUACACUUCUCUUAAUGAAGAACAGUAGCUCCGACCUCCAAACCAACUGGGACUGGCGCUUUAAAGUAGCUGCGAACAGUGCUCCGGUGUCUCAACAUGGUCACGUAGGAAUUUGAACCUUUUAAUUUCCAGACACAAGGAAUAACUCCCUCGGAGCACCGGCUUGGUUUAGGUGGUCGAUUGUUGGGUGUUUCGGUCGGAGUUUUUGAUUUUUUUUUUUUUCUAAUAAGGUAGCGAGGGAAGAUGGGGUACUAUUCCCUUGUAGACACAGAACAUAAAGGGGAAGAAAAAGCCUAGCCGGGGCAUAUUUGGCUGUGGGGAACCUGCCCGAGCCGCUCUGCAUCCCCGGCGGGAUAGCGGUCGGGGCUGCGGGCGCUGCCGCCGGCCCGGCCCAGCCCUCACCCCGGCCCUGCGCGGCAGCCAACGGGCGCGUCGCCUGGUGUGACCUUCGGGGAGCACAUUUCAACUGCUAAACACCGAGAAAAGUGCUUCUCUCUCUCGCAGGCGCCAUAUUACCGCCGGGAGCCGGGGCUGGGGCGGGGGGAGGGCGGGUGCGCAGUUAGUCUAGUUUUCCGCAGUUGUUAAUUCAGACUGGACGAGCACUCGAUGGCUCCAUAAAAAGAAAGAAAUAAAGAAAGAAAAAAACA